rnacentral:rRNA from 1 species
UNAGCUAGUNGGNGGGGUAAAGNCNUCCCAAGGCGACGNACAGUAGCUGUUCUGAGAGGAUGAUCAGCCCCACUGGAACUGAGACACGGUCCAGACUCUUACGGGAGGCAGCACGUGAGGAAUUUUCUGCAAUGGGCGAAAGCCUGACCGAGCAAUACCGCGUGANGGAUGAAGGCCUACGGGUUGUAAACCUCUUUUCUCAAGGAAGAAGAUCUGACGUUACUUGAAGAAUAAGCAUCGGCUAACCCUGUGCCAGCAGCCGCGGUAAUACAGGGGAUGCAAGUGUUNUCCNGAAUUAUUGGGAUAAANGCNUCCGAA